UUUUCCAACAUAAUCUAUGAAUAUAAGAGUAAACAUUACUCUUGAAUAAACAUCAAAAGUCAUCAAAAGCAGUUAUGACCACCAUGAGUUGACAUUAUUUUAAAACGCCAUUAGAAUUACAAAUAAUGUCUAUGGGUGGUUUUGGAUGAAAUGUUCAGUCCUUCCCUAUUGCUUUAGCAACAUACAGUAAGACAGCAGAACAUACAUACUGUAACUUAUUUCAUGAAUGUCCUCAUAUCAUAUUGCAAAUGCAUUUAACUGUUACGGAUUUGAAGUAACAUCAGACCAAGAAAUAUGAUCACAAAUGCAAGUCUACAAACUCUUAUGUAAACAUCAACAAUCCUCCAUCAGACCUUCAUCAUCAGAUCUUUCAACCAUGUGUGAACUAAACCUUCUAAUCCAUGCUGGAGUUGUAAGCCAAUAGGGGGAGACAUUGCAAAGAUCAUAACAAAUGCAGUCACGAUCACUAUGUUUUGACAUCCCAUUGUACAGAUGGUGAUGUGCUCUGCAUCAGAGUUAUUUGUAUAAUUGUGUCAAAGCGUUUUAUGAUGUAUCAACUUCUACUGUUAAGCCAAGUGUUAGGGUACAGCAUUGGCGUAACGUUUGAUCAGCCUCCAUCAUUUACUGCACAACUUAAUAAAACAGUGAAUAUCAAUUGUAGCCAUGAUGACAAAAAUCUUGAUGUAAUGUUAUGGUAUAUUCAAAACACAGUCAAUAAUAACGCUAUGGUAUUAAUUGGAUAUAUUUAUGCCAAGCUUGACCCCACCUAUGAGGACAUGUUCAAGUCUAACAAAAAGUUUCUGAUGGAAAGAAUAACCGAUGUCAGUGCAUCACUGACGAUCUUAAAUCCAAAUCUGCAAGACUCUGCUGUGUACUUCUGUGCAGCCAAAGAACCCACAGCGCUUAAUCUGCAGGUCCCUCCCGUUACUCAAACCCUGGCACUUGUAAGAAGCUACUACAUGCUCUGUACUCAAAAGGUUUACUGUCAUUUCAUUUGUGUUGUUUAGAUCAGUCCAUUUUUCAUGAUGUUAGAGUGCAAAGCUAUGCUGAGAAUGACAUUGUACUGUUACUCUGCUUUAUUUCAAGAAUAAAAAUACAGUUAUAAAAAAAUGAACGUGAA